UGGAUGGUAGAUUAAAGCUGUAGCUCCUGUGGUGUAUCUGUCAUCAGGAGUGUGGUCUGAAACAUGUCCGAGUUCCGCAGGGAUGAGAUUGGUGGCAGUCCCCUUCAGAACGGUAUGCAGGACAGACAGGCAGGUGUAAACGGACUCUAAUGGUGAUGAACAAGGUCAAGAACAACAGGGCUCAAAAUACUGACUCUAAUGGUGAUGAACAAGGUCAGGAACAACAGGGCUCAAAAUACUGACUCUAAUGGUGAUGAACAAGGUCAGGAACAACAGGGCUCAAAAUACUGACUCUAAUGGUGAUGAACAAGGUCAGGAACAACAGGGCUCAAAAUACUGACUCUAAUGGUGAUGAACAAGGUCAGGAACAACAGGGCUCAAAAUACUGACUCUAAUGGUGAUGAACAAGGUCAGGAACAACAGGGCUCAAAAUACUGACUCUAAUGGUGAUGAACAAGGUCAGGAACAACAGGGCUCAAAAUACUGACUCUAAUGGUGAUGAACAAGGUCAGGAACAACAGGGCUCAAAAUACUGACCAGUAGUGGGCCCAAAUGCCUUUCCCUAUUCAUUGUCAACAGUUGCAUUUUUGAAUGCAGCAAAUAACAGUGGAUUAAAGAACAUUUUCAAGAUAGAGUUUUUACUGUGAAAGGCAUAGAAAUUUAGUGGGGUAGGUACAUGUAAGUCUAGUGUAGUACAGAUGAUUUUGAAUGUUAUCUCACCAGUCAAUGGGUAUGCAGAAAAAACAACAGGAUUUUGUUCUUGAGCCCUGGACACUGCCAUUGCCUGGAUGGCUAAUUUGAUUGGUUGGGAAGAGAGAAGGUUUUCAAAGGCCCUCCAGCUGCUACUCAUCAUGCCUGAUGACGCACUUCUCAGCCUUGGAACAGGUGACCAUGAUGAAGGGAGAUGGGGCUCCUGCUUUCAUGUACAACUUCUUAAAAACAGCUUUCAGACAAUUGUCCUUCAUACAUAUAUUGGUGCCUUCAGGGGUCAAAAUGUCCACCUUUGCAGACAUGCAAUCUAUAGAAAAAAUAUCAGAUUGCACGUGCUAAAAAUCUGCAUCUAGUAAUUAUAAAUUACUUGCAACCUUGCAAACGAUCUGACAGUUGUGUACAACUUCUCAAAAGCAGCUUUCAGACAAUUGUCCAUCAUAUAUAUAAGGGUCAAAAUGCCCACCUUUGCAACAUGCAAUGUGUAGAAAAAAUAUCAGAUUACAUGUGCUAAAAAUCUGCAUCAUAA